rnacentral:rRNA from 1 species
UAAGGAAUAUUGGUCAAUGGACGCAAGUCUGAACCAGCCAUGCCGCGUGAAGGAUGAAGGUCCUCUGGAUUGUAAACUUCUUUUAUCUGGGACGAAAACGGGAUUUUUAUCUCAAUUGACGGUCCCAGAGGAAUAAGCACCGGCUAACUCCGUGCCAGCAGCCGCGGUAAUACGGAGGGUGCGAGCGUUAUCCGGAUUUACUGGGUUUAAAGGGUGCGUAGGUGGGCUUAUAAGUCAGUGGUGAAAUCUCCGAGCUUAACUUGGAAACUGCCGUUGAUACUAUAGGUCGUGAAUUAUCUGGAGGGAAGCGGAAUAUGUCGUGUAGCGGUGAAAUGCUUAGAUAUGACAUAGAACACCAAUUGCGAAGGCAGCUUACUACAUAUAAAUUGACGCUGAGGCACGAAAGCGUGGGGAUCAAACA